rnacentral:rRNA from 1 species
UUGUGCAGGCACUUUGGUGACUCUAGAUAACCUUGGGCUGAUCGCACGUCCCCGUGACGGUGACGACGCAUUCGGAUGUCUGCCCUAUCAACUGUUGAUGGUACUUUCUUCGCCUACCAUGGUGACCACGGGUAAUGGGGAAAUCAGGGUUUGAUUCUGGAGAGGGAGCCUGAGAAACGGCUACCACAUCCAAGGAAGGCAGCAGGCGUGCAAAUUACCCACUCCCGACGCGGGGAGGUAGUGACGAAA